rnacentral:rRNA from 1 species
UACGUAGGGUGCAAGCGUUGUCCGGAAUUAUUGGGCGUAAAGAGCUCGUAGGCGGUUUGUUGCGUCGGCUGUGAAAUCCCGAGGCUCAACCUCGGGUCUGCAGUCGAUACGAGCAAACUAGAGUGUUGCAGGGGAGACUGGAAUUCCUGGUGUAGCGGUGAAAUGCGCAGAUAUCAGGAGGAACACCCGUGGCGAAGGCGGCGCCCUGGUCCGUUACUGACGCUGAGACGCGAAAGCGCGGGGAGCGAACGGG